UACGGAGGGUGCGAGCGUUGUUCGGAUUUACUGGGCGUACAGGGAGCGUAGGCGGUUCGGUAAGCCCUCUGUGAAAUCUCCAGGCUUAACCUGGAACAGUCGGAGGGGACUGCUGGGCUAGAGGACGGGGAGAGGAGCGCGGAAUUCCCGGUGGUAGAGGUGAAAUUCGUAGAUAUCGGGAGGAACACCAGUGGGCGAAGGCGGCUUGUCGGUGCCUAGGUAACUGG
rnacentral:rRNA from 1 species